UUCCAGACUCCUACGGGAGGCAGCAGUGGGGGAUAUUGCACAAUGGGGGGAACCCUGAUGCAGCGACGCCGCGUGGGUGAAGGAGCGUUUCUGCGCGUAAAGCCCUCUCGGCAGGGAAGAAGGAGGACGGUACCUGACUAAGAAGCCCCGGCUAACUACGUGCCAGCAGCCGCGGUAAUACGUAGGGGGCAAGCGUUAUCCGGAUUUACUGGGUGUAAAGGGGGCGCAGACGGCAGCGCAAGCCAGGAGUGAAAGCCCGGGGCCCAACCCCGGGACUGCUCUUGGAACUGCGCGGCUGGAGUGCAGGAGGGGCAGGCGGAAUUCCUGGUGUAGCGGUGAAAUGCGUAGAUAUCAGGAGGAACACCGGUGGCGAAGGCGGCCUGCUGGACUGCGACUGACGUUGAGGCCCGAAAGCGUGGGGAGCAAACAGGAUUAGAUACCCCUGUAG
rnacentral:rRNA from 1 species